rnacentral:lncRNA from 1 species
GUUGCUAGGCAGGCCUGGACGCGGCUGCCGCGGUUCCCUGCCCGCUCCGAGGCGGACGGUGGUGGCGGGGUGCGGUGCCUGUCCGCCCCCCCUCCCAUGGAGGGUGACAAGAGAAGAACCAAAGAAGAUACCUGGAAAUCAGAAGAACUUAGGAAACAUCUUAGGGCAUUACAAUCAGAUAGUCAAACUGAAGACCAAAAGCACAGAGAAAAGAAACCGCAGAAAGAGAAGCCUGUUUAUGACACAGACACUCAUAAACAUGAACGCAAAGACAGAGGGAAGAGCAAGGAAAGAACAAGAGAGAGAGAGAGAUUAAAAUCUGGUGAAAGAGACAGGGAUAAAAUGAGAGAGAGAGAGAGGUGGAAAGAGCGCCAGGGGGAAGGAGACCGAGUGAGAUACAAAGAUAAACUUCAAGAGUUAAGUCUGGAGAAAGAAAGAUACAGUUUUCCAAAAGAUAAAGACAGGGAGAGCUAUAGGGAACCAGACAAAAAGCACAGAAGACAUGAGGUAAAGCAAAUAGAUACACAAAAUAAUCUGAAAUCAUUUGAAGGAAGAGAUAAAGAACAUCACAGAAGAAGAGAAAGCAGGCAUCGUUUGGAGAAGGAGAAAACAAGUGAAGAGCGAGAAAGAAGACAUGCAGAAAAGAAGGAUAAUGAUACCAAAAAGAACAUUGACAAAUUUUUAGCCUACAAAUUUGAAGAAGGUGAACGUGUACACAAAUUACAGAAAGAUCAAGAGUUGGAUAAGGAGCGAGAAAGAAGACACAGAGAAAAAAAAGAACAUUCUGUUAGGCCAGGAAAAGAGAGGCUUUCAAAAGAGAGAAGUCAUAAACUUUAUGGAAAGGAAGAGAAAGAAAAACAUAAAUCAAAGAAAUCUGAAGACAGAUCUUCCCAUGGAGACAGUGACGGGCAACCAGCAGAAGCUAGUGAGAAAGUAAAAAGUAGAGAAAAUGAAAGAAAGAAGCACGAUCUUGGG